GAUGAACGCUGGCGGCGUGCCUAAUACAUGCAAGUCGAGCGAAUGGAUUAAGAGCUUGCUCUUAUGAAGUUAGCGGCGGACGGGUGAGUAACACGUGGGUAACCUGCCCAUAAGACUGGGAUAACUCCGGGAAACCGGGGCUAAUACCGGAUAACAUUUUGAACCGCAUGGUUCGACAUUGAAAGGCGGCUGCGGCUGUCACUUAUGCAUGGACGCGCGUCGCCGUAGCUAGUUGGUGAGGUAACGGCUCACCAAGGCAACGAUGCGUAGCCGACCUGAGAGGGUGAUCGGCCACACUGGGACAGAGACACGGCCCAGACUCCUACGGGAGGCAGCAGUAGGGAAUCUUCCGCAAUGGACGAAAGUCUGACGGAGCAACGCCGCGUGAGUGAUGAAGGCUUUCGGGUCGUAAAACUCUGUUGUUAGGGAAGAACAAGUGCUAGUUGAAUAAGCUGGCACCUUGACGGUACCUAACCAGAAAGCCACGGCUAACUACGUGCCAGCAGCCGCGGUAA
rnacentral:rRNA from 1 species